rnacentral:rRNA from 1 species
UACGGAGGGUGCAAGCGUUAAUCGGAAUUACUGGGCGUAAAGCGCACGCAGGCGGUCUGUCAAGUCGGAUGUGAAAUCCCCGGGCUCAACCUGGGAACUGCAUUCGAAACUGGCAGGCUAGAGUCUUGUAGAGGGGGGUAGAAUUCCAGGUGUAGCGGUGAAAUGCGUAGAGAUCUGGAGGAAUACCGGUGGCGAAGGCGGCCCCCUGGACAAAGACUGACGCUCAGGUGCGAAAGCGUGGGGAGCAAACAGGAUUAGAUACCCUGGUAGUCCACGCCGUAAACGAUGUCGAUUUGGAGGUUGUGCCCUUGAGGCGUGGCUUCCGGAGUUAAAUCGACCGCCUGGGGAGUACGGCCGCAAGGUUAAA